UAAGGACAAACAGAUGGGCGAGCUCCUGGCCGUUUACUUUUCCAAUAAGUAGGACGGUAGCAUAUCACACCUCGAGGCCUUGGAUCAUCCCAAGAUGCGUUUAGAGAAAGGCAAGGUGUGUCUGAGCUCCAGGCUGACUUGAAAAGAAAUAGUGUCUUUCAAACUGCCUGUGCCAAGCUACAUGCUUGCUAAAGUAGCUGCUAAGAGAGACGGGUGGAGCAGACAUUUGAUUAAAAAGUCUGCUAACAAGAAGCCCAAACAACGUAACACACCUUGUAGGCAUAUAAAUCCGGCAAUCACCCCGAUGAUGGAUGAGGCUGGCCCCGACAGCUAUUGGACGGAUACCUGACCCCAGUCACAUGAUGAGCUUCAAUUGCCAGGUUACAAGUCAUCCCGGUUGCUGCAGGGGACGUGGUGUUAAGUUAUGAAGCUUUCUGUGUAAACUGGAGACUUUUAAAGUGUUUGGUGCUUGAAAAGCUAUCAUGUUCAGGAAAUGUAUGUUCAGCUGACCUAAAAAGGCAAACAGACACACUGUAGUGAUUCUUGUAGUUUUUUUGUUGUUGAUAAUAUUGUAACAUUAUGAUGUUAAUUUGAACACUUGUUUAAAAAGUAAUUUUCUGACUUAAUUCUUAUAUUGUAAGGUUCUUAUUUUCGCGCAGUAAUUUUUGUGAUGCUUUCAUAAAUUCACCUGUUCAUAGGGAUACCAAAAAAACUCAACAUAAUUAAAAUGAGUCUGAAGCAACUGUCUUACUGAACAUUCGCGCGUAUUUAAAAAAAAAAAAACCAUACAUUAGAAAAAUAUUUCAAACAUAAUAUAGAACUCUACGAUAAAAGCAAAAUUAUUUCAUAAAAACAAAAUGACAAACUAAUAUAGAACUCAUAAACCAAUUACCGGAUACAGUCUGUUUGAUCAGAGCCAAUAAUUAAGGCUUUGAUGACUAUCGUGACAUAAAUGAAAUGUCAGCUGAUAAAGGUUUGCGGUAGCAAAGUGUAAGCGAAAACGUUACAUCUAAGAUGACAUUUGACUGGGCAAACAAAGUCAAGUCCAAGAGUACACAGUCCCAAAGUCCACCACCAUCACAAUCAUUACUUCUUUCCUGAGUUAUUUACAAUAGAAAAUGAACCCACUCUGAAAAUGUCAAGUAGGGACAGACGAAUUUGUUUAGCGUUGUUGAACUUCAGCCUAGUGUUGAGUGAAUGUCUUCAUUAUGCACUAUGAACAUGUGCGUCAACUCUUUGUUUUACCCUGUUAAGUAAAUACUGUAGAAUUAUUAAAAGGCCUCGGCAUUUCAAGUGCUGUCUACUGCCAACAAUUUGUUUGGAGGAGCAGCCAAGCUUGGGCCCUGAGGCUGGAGAAUGCACUAUAAUGGGGUGUUUAUGUGUGUCAGACUAUGUGUGGAUGUGUGUGUGGGGCGUUGGUGAACGCGUGUACCUGCCUGCCCGGACGAGUCUGAUAAUGGUGUGAACCAAAAGCGGUGCGACGAGUAUUGGAACAUCCCCGCAAACAAGUAUUUCCUUCAUGGUGUCAUUUUUUUCCCCAACAGUGCCAAUUUAAAUAUAGUUUAUGAAAUAGUUUACACUCAUUUGUCCACAUUCAAAGUGUUGUGGUGUGACCAAAAAAUAAAUAUGUUAAGUUAGUCAGAGAAAAGAUAUGACUACUGUUUUUCCCGUUAAUGAAUAAAAUUCACAUUUAAAAACUGCAUUUUAAGUUUACUUACAUAAAAAUGAGGGGAAAAAUAAGAAUUUGAGAAGGGAGCAAAUAACUUUGCACAGCACUGGAGAAAAAAAUAUAAUCUGAACGAUAUUUAUUCAGCACACAGAGAAGGAAGGUUUGCUUUAAAGAAUAUCAAAAUGUAUUUUUUUGCUCUAACGUCACCUGCGGUCCACACUUCCAUAGAACCACCCCUAUGCCUAUACAGCCUAUUUGCAAAGUUUCUAAAUUCGAGUAAGCUGAUGUAAGCUUUGCUUGCUUGCCACACAAGACAACGGAACCAACAAACUAUUCACAAACAUCCGUGUGCCAUCCGGGUGCCUUGACCAAAUUCUCUGCCUUUCCCGCCGAUUCGGGGUCAGCUGUGAGGGGAUAACCUCGUCCUUAACUUUCACAGAAGCCCAGAUGGCGACCGAUCCAAAACCUAGCUCACAGAUUCAGCUGCGCUGGCCGCAAUUUAACCCCCUAAGCCAACCCCUCAGCCCGGGUGACGGCCAAGGUCGCAGACGCUCAUUCGAGAUAGUGGAAGGAAUUAGAUAAGGGCUGAGCGGCCCUCAUCUGGCUAAGCCUGCCUGAACGCAACACGGGAGGUAAACACCCAGGGAAGGAAGGACUCAGAGGGGCUACAGAUGGUGCGCCCUGGGCCUGGUGACUGAAGCUCCCAAUGAGCUCCUUUUGGAUGCAGUGUGAUGCAGACAAACAGGGCGGAAGACAAAGCGCAGCGGAAGGAGGGUGUGAGGCGCUGCAAAAAAGGGAGGCGAACCUUUUUUCCUUCAAGGGGGGUA